rnacentral:rRNA from 1 species
UACGAAGGGUGCUAGCGUUGUUCGGAAUUACUGGGCGUAAAGCGCGCGUAGGCGGCCAAUCAAGUCAGAGGUGAAAGCCCUGGGCUCAACCCAGGAAUUGCCUUUGAAACUGUUUGGCUAGAGUAUUGGAGGGGAGUGCGGAAUUGCUAAUGUAGAGGUGAAAUUCGUAGAUAUUAGCAGGAACACCGGUGGCGAAGGCGGCACUCUGGACAAUAACUGACGCUGAGGCGCGAAAGCGUGGGGAUCAAACAGG